GUAUGUCAUGCGAUGUGUUUUUCUCUCUAAAACGUUUUCAAUUUAUAUUCAAGGCGAUCUGUAGCAUAAUUGUGGUUCGUUAAUUCACUUCGUCAUUUGGAUUGGGUAAGGACUUUGGUGAUAAAGAUAUUAGUUGUCCGUGCUGACGUAGAAAUUUACAUAAUUCACCAAAAUCAACCGUGCAUAUUGCAAUCAGGGAAUUGGUCGCCCCACAAAAAGGAACAAUCAAUGGAUCAGAUCGAGCAAUACUACCGGGCCAAUUAUGGCUACUUCCUUCUUUGGUUUGGGCUUUUGACCUUUUUCGAAAUGGGAAGAGAUAAAUUGGCAGCAUGGCGAACUUCGGAAUUAAGCUUACAUCUCCUGGAAUUUCUUGGAGGCUGGGUUGGAUCUUUGUGUGGUCAGGUAUUCUUCUGGCACAAGAUCAGGAAGACAAGCUACCAGGUCGUGUACAGGAUCAUUGUUUUCGUUCAUGUCGUGUACAUGUGGGAAGAGCUACUUUGUUGUGUGGUUGACGUCUGGAGUUAUUACAAUAAAUAAUAAAUGAAAUAUGAGAGCUUAUCCACUUGGAUAUUAGUCUUACGUUCCAUUAAUAAUGACCCUGAUUAAUUUUAUCGACGUCUUCAUUGUAAAUACAUAUGAUCUGAUGGGUAAAUCAUUGCCAAUUCAUACACAAAUGAUUUAUGUAUCACCUUUAAAAUUCAUUCUAUCCUUGGCUACAUUGUCGGACUGAAAUUUAUUAAUAAACGAUUAUAUAUUACCUAUA